rnacentral:rRNA from 1 species
AAAACAAUAAUUAAAACUUUCAAACAACGGAUCUCUCGGUUCCGGCAUCGAUGAAGAACGCAGCGAAACGCGAUAAUUAAUGUGAAUCGCAGAAUUCAGUGAAUCAUCGAGUCUUCGAACGCACAUUGCGCCCCCUGGUAUUCCGGGGGGCAUCGCCUGUCCGAGCGUCAUUGCUGCCCUCAAGCACGGCUUGUGUGUUGGGCUUCCGUCCCUGGUAACGGGGACGGGCCCAAAAGGCAGUGGCGGCACCAUGUCUGGUCCUCGAGCGUAUGGGGCUUUGUCACCCGCUCCCGUAGGUCCAGCUGGCAGCUAGCCUCGCAACCAAUCUUUUUAACCAGGUUGACCUCGGAUCAGGUAGGGAUACCCGCUGAAUUAACAAUAA